rnacentral:lncRNA from 1 species
UUGCCCUUUUCUUUUGGAUCUCAUACUUUUUAGGAUUAAAUGCAUACAGAUUCCUAUAAAUAUAGUGAAUUACAAAUAUAUCUUUACAAAAUUUAAUUUUUAUAUAUUGUCCCUAUAAAAAUUCUAAUAUUUUCAAAUAUGUCCCUCUGGUUUGUUACCGUUAUAAAAUUGUUUAGGAAUAAUAGCCUAUAAACUUCUCAAAACUUCAGAAAUAUCUUUUUUUUUUUCUUUUCAAUAUAUCCCUCAUGUUCUUCCGUUAUUCCAAAAUAUCCUUACAGUUACCACCCAUUAAGUUAACUUGGGUUAAACGUGAGUUAAACAUCUACUAGAGUUAAGAAAAAAUCAAAAUGUCUCUUUUACCCUUAACUUAAGGACAAAUAAGAAAUAUUGGUGAUGGUAGAAGGGUAUAUUUGAAAAAAUUAAAAAUCAAAAUAUUUUUUGUACUCCUAACUUAAGGGCAAAUAAGAAAAGUUGAUGAUGGUGGAAGGGUAUAUUUGAAAAGAUAAAAUAGUAAUUUCAUACAGAUAACAGUUAUUCCUAACAAUUUAUUGACAGAAUUUAACUCUAGGGAUAUAUUUGAAAUAGUUGGAACGUACAAAAGUUAUUUUUAAUAUUAACCUUCUAAGAGGGGGUAAAUUAAAAAGUCAAAAAAUUUUCAGAGAUAUGUAAGAAAUUGCCCUUAUUGUUUAUAUUUUAAAUAAAAUGUCAUUUUUGCCAUCAUAAAUAUGUCCUUUCAAAAGCCACAACGAUAUAAUAUAAGAGGGACAAAAAUAUCAAAUUAUCUCAUGAACUAACUAGAGUUAAGCAUUUAAUCUAUACUUAACUAAAGUUUCCUAACAGAGUUUAAUGAUAGGAACAUAUUUAAAAAUAUUAGGACUUUUACAAAAAUAAUAUACAAAAAUUAAAUUUAUAAAAAUAUAUUUAUAAUUUACUAUAUUUAUAGAAAACUGUAUGAAAUUAACUCUAUUUUUUAUAACUUAAACACUCAUAUGCUGCACUAAAGAUACUUGCACAAAUUGAGAGAGAUAGAAAAGCUAGAAAAGGUGUUGUAUGAAAAGCUAGAAAGAGUGUUGUACUAUCAGAUAGCACUGCACUCAUAUCAUAAUAAACUUUUCUUGUCUGGUUUGAAUAAAUGAGGCUUCAGUAUCGGACUGAAGCAUUUUGAGUCGAUAAUUUAGAUCCAAUAAGUUAUUAUUGUCAGCGGAUCGGAUCGGACCGGUGAUUUGGUUCCAACAAAUUAUUAUUGCUAGCGGGUCGGAUCGAGUCGUUAUAAUAUAAUAAUCACGGUUUGUGAUCUUUUGCCACUCGGUCCUUGGGAUCGACUUUGCUCAGAAAAUGAUGCAAAAAUUGAAGAAAAUCAGGGCCGGUGGUUUGGUUCCAACGAGUUAUUAUUAUUAGUGGGUCGGGUCUGGUCGGGUCGAUACGAUAAUAAUCACGGUUUGUGAUCAUUUAAGACUAGGUCCUUGGGAUAGACUUUGCUCAGAAAAUGAUGCAAAAAUUGAAAAACUCCAACUACAUAUUAUUGCUAACAGAUCGGAUCGCUACAAUAAUAAUUAUGGUUUGUGAUCUCUUUCGACUGGGUCCCUUGGGAUCGAUUUU